AUGCACCACUAACAGGAGGCACAACAACUACAACCACAGCGACCUCAGACGCUUUAACCUCAGACGCUUUAAACCCAAAUAUGGGAAAUGACACUGUAGAAAAUGCACCACUAACAGGAGGCACAACAACUACAACCACAGCGAGUAUGAUACAUAGCUUUGUUCAAAUAAAAUAAUUGAUUUUCUUAAUAUUUAAAUUUAAACCUAUUGGCUUUAUUUUGUAAUAAC